GACGAACGCUGGCGGCGUGCUUAACACAUGCAAGUCGAACGGUGAAGCGCCUUCCUUUUUGGUGGGUGUGGAUGAGUGGCGAACGGGUGAGUAACACGUGAGUAACCUGCCCCCUUCUUCUGGAUAACCGCAUGAAAGUGUGGCUAAUACGGGAUAUUCUGUGUCUGUCGCAUGAUGGGUCUGGGAAAGAUAUUGUUUCGGUGGGGGAUGGGCUCGCGGCCUAUCAGCUUGUUGGUGGGGUGAUGGCCUACCAAGGCGGUGACGGGUAGCCGGCCUGAGAGGGUGGACGGUCACACUGGGACUGAGACACGGCCAAGACGCCUACGGGAGGCAGCAGUGGGGAAUAUUGCACAAUGGGCGCAAGCCUGAUGCAGCGACGCCGCGUGAGGGAUGGAGGCCUGCGGGUUGUGAACCUCUUUCGCCAGUGAAGCAGGCCUGCCUCGUUUGUGGGUGGGUUGACGGUAGCUGGAUAAGAAGCGCCGGCUAACUACGUG
rnacentral:rRNA from 1 species